CUCCCCGCCCCCCAUCUCCCCCCAGCAUGGAGCGGUGCGCCCCUGCGGGGCCAGAAACGCAUCACUGGAAUCAAUAAGCGGUGCGGGCAGACGGGCUGAGGAGGCUGGAAUGAGAAGCACCUGGAUCCCGGAACAUCACACAGCUGACAUGUCGACUGAUCUGCUGCACCUCCAUGUCUGGAUGGAAGCAGGAAAAACCAUUUGGAGCUCCAUGUAUUUCUGCGUCGGGUCUCCGCGGAGAGCUGCACCCUAUAGCACAUGUGGGACCUGGCAGACGAUGAGGCGGAAACGUGAAGCUCUGACAGCAGCCGGAGCCGCGGCGUGAACAACGCUCCUUUAUUAUCGUCGUUAUUAUUCAGGACAUCUGAGAUACAAAAAAAAAAGCACUUUUCACAGCGAUAAAAACAGGAUUAUGUUGCCAACAAAAACAGCCAUCAAAUAUAAUUUCAGUGAGUAUUAGACGCAUGCAUUAAAAGGAAUGGAGGUGUUAGCAUUUAAAUAGGAUAUUUGACUGCACCUGUCUAGUUGCAAAAAACACAAUUUCACUUGAAUAAAUAAGAUUUCUGGUGACAGAUUUCAACCAA